rnacentral:rRNA from 1 species
ACUAAGCGUACACGGUGGAUGCCCUGGCAGUCAGAGGCGAUGAAGGACGUGCUAAUCUGCGAUAAGCGUCGGUAAGGUGAUAUGAACCGUUAUAACCGGCGAUUUCCGAAUGGGGAAACCCAGUGUGAUUCGUCACACUAUCAUUAACUGAAUCCAUAGGUUAAUGAGGCGAACCGGGGGAACUGAAACAUCUAAGUACCCCGAGGAAAAGAAAUCAACCGAGAUUCCCCCAGUAGCGGCGAGCGAACGGGGAGCAGCCCAGAGCCUGAAUCAGUGUGUGUGUUAGUGGAAGCGUCUGGAAAGGCGUGCGAUACAGGGUGACAGCCCCGUACACAAAAAUGCACAUAUUGUGAGCUCGAUGAGUAGGGCGGGACACGUGGUAUCCUGUCUGAAUAUGGGGGGACCAUCCUCCAAGGCUAAAUACUCCUGACUGACCGAUAGUGAACCAGUACCGUGAGGGAAAGGCGAAAAGAACCCCGGCGAGGGGAGUGAAAAAGAACCUGAAACUGUGUACGUACAAGCAGUGGGAGCACGCUUAGGCGUGUGACUGCGUACCUUUUGUAUAAUGGGUCAGCGACUUAUAUUCUGUAGCAAGGUUAACCGAAUAGGGGAGCCGAAGGGAAACCGAGUCUUAACUGGGCGUUAAGUUGCAGGGUAUAGACCCGAAACCCGGUGAUCUAGCCAUGGGCAGGUUGAAGGUUGGGUAACACUAACUGGAGGACCGAACCGACUAAUGUUGAAAAAUUAGCGGAUGACUUGUGGCUGGGGGUGAAAGGCCAAUCAAACCGGGAGAUAGCUGGUUCUCCCCGAAAGCUAUUUAGGUAGCGCCUCGUGAAUUCAUCUCCGGGGGUAGAGCACUGUUUCGGCAAGGGGGUCAUCCCGACUUACCAACCCGAUGCAAACUGCGAAUACCGGAGAAUGUUAUCACGGGAGACACACGGCGGGUGCUAACGUCCGUCGUGAAGAGGGAAACAACCCAGACCGCCAGCUAAGGUCCCAAAGUCAUGGUUAAGUGGGAAACGAUGUGGGAAGGCCCAGACAGCCAGGAUGUUGGCUUAGAAGCAGCCAUCAUUUAAAGAAAGCGUAAUAGCUCACUGGUCGAGUCGGCCUGCGCGGAAGAUGUAACGGGGCUAAACCAUGCACCGAAGCUGCGGCAGCGACACUAUGUGUUGUUGGGUAGGGGAGCGUUCUGUAAGCCUGUGAAGGUGUACUGUGAGGUAUGCUGGAGGUAUCAGAAGUGCGAAUGCUGACAUAAGUAACGAUAAAGCGGGUGAAAAGCCCGCUCGCCGGAAGACCAAGGGUUCCUGUCCAACGUUAAUCGGGGCAGGGUGAGUCGACUCCUAAGGCGAGGCCGAAAGGCGUAGUCGAUGGGAAACAGGUUAAUAUUCCUGUACUUGGUGUUACUGCGAAGGGGGGACGGAGAAGGCUAUGUUGGCCGGGCGACGGUUGUCCCGGUUUAAGCGUGUAGGCUGGUUUUCCAGGCAAAUCCGGAAAACUAAGGCUGAGGCGUGAUGACGAGGCACUACGGUGCUGAAGCAACAAAUGCCCUGCUUCCAGGAAAAGCCUCUAAGCAUCAGGUAACAUCAAAUCGUACCCCAAACCGACACAGGUGGUCAGGUAGAGAAUACCAAGGCGCUUGAGAGAACUCGGGUGAAGGAACUAGGCAAAAUGGUGCCGUAACUUCGGGAGAAGGCACGCUGAUAUGUAGGUGAAGUCCCUCGCGGAUGGAGCUGAAAUCAGUCGAAGAUACCAGCUGGCUGCAACUGUUUAUUAAAAACACAGCACUGUGCAAACACGAAAGUGGACGUAUACGGUGUGACGCCUGCCCGGUGCCGGAAGGUUAAUUGAUGGGGUCAGCGCAAGCGAAGCUCUUGAUCGAAGCCCCGGUAAACGGCGGCCGUAACUAUAACGGUCCUAAGGUAGCGAAAUUCCUUGUCGGGUAAGUUCCGACCUGCACGAAUGGCGUAAUGAUGGCCAGGCUGUCUCCACCCGAGACUCAGUGAAAUUGAACUCGCUGUGAAGAUGCAGUGUACCCGCGGCAAGACGGAAAGACCCCGUGAACCUUUACUAUAGCUUGACACUGAACAUUGAGCCUUGAUGUGUAGGAUAGGUGGGAGGCUUUGAAGUGUGGACGCCAGUCUGCAUGGAGCCGACCUUGAAAUACCACCCUUUAAUGUUUGAUGUUCUAACGUUGACCCGUAAUCCGGGUUGCGGACAGUGUCUGGUGGGUAGUUUGACUGGGGCGGUCUCCUCCUAAAGAGUAACGGAGGAGCACGAAGGUUGGCUAAUCCUGGUCGGACAUCAGGAGGUUAGUGCAAUGGCAUAAGCCAGCUUGACUGCGAGCGUGACGGCGCGAGCAGGUGCGAAAGCAGGUCAUAGUGAUCCGGUGGUUCUGAAUGGAAGGGCCAUCGCUCAACGGAUAAAAGGUACUCCGGGGAUAACAGGCUGAUACCGCCCAAGAGUUCAUAUCGACGGCGGUGUUUGGCACCUCGAUGUCGGCUCAUCACAUCCUGGGGCUGAAGUAGGUCCCAAGGGUAUGGCUGUUCGCCAUUUAAAGUGGUACGCGAGCUGGGUUUAGAACGUCGUGAGACAGUUCGGUCCCUAUCUGCCGUGGGCGCUGGAGAACUGAGGGGGGCUGCUCCUAGUACGAGAGGACCGGAGUGGACGCAUCACUGGUGUUCGGGUUGUCAUGCCAAUGGCACUGCCCGGUAGCUAAAUGCGGAAGAGAUAAGUGCUGAAAGCAUCUAAGCACGAAACUUGCCCCGAGAUGAGUUCUCCCUGACUCCUUGAGAGUCCUGAAGGAACGUUGAAGACGACGACGUUGAUAGGCCGGGUGUGUAAGCGCAGCGAUGCGUUGAGCUAACCGGUACUAAUGAACCGUGAGGCUUAACC